rnacentral:rRNA from 1 species
UGAGGAAUCUGUCCUUCGGCGGGGGAUAGCCGGCCCAACGGCCGGGUAAUACCGCGUACGACCACAUGGGGACAUCCCUGAGUGGUGAAAGCAGCAAUGCGCCGAUGGAGUGCCUCGCGGCCUAUCAGCUAGUUGGUGAGGUAACGGCUCACCAAGGCAACGACGGGUAGCUGGUCUGAGAGGAUGGCCAGCCACAUUGGGACUGAGACACGGCCCAGACCUNUACCGGGGAGG